ACGCGCGCCUCCAGGAGAGACGCCUCCUUCUUAAGUCCCCGGCCCCUCCCGCCAACGGUCACCGGGAUUCCUGGAAGAGACGGGGAUUUGGGGGAAACGGAGAGGGUUCUGCGAGGAGACGGGACCAGUGAGACAGGCAGGACCGGGUGGAGGCGUCUCUACGAGCAGGAGGGCAAGGAAGAUGGGGCAAGACGCGGGGAGGCUGCAGAGGAGGAGCAGGGUGGGGUUUGGAGAGAAUGGAGCCUGCAGAAAGGAGCGGCAGAAACUGGCGCUGGAAGGCUCAAAAAAGGGGCCCUGGAAAGGACGGAGCGGGGACAGGAAAGGGAAUUCCAAGGGGCAGGAGGAGCUGGGCAGAGGAGCCCGUGUAAACACAGAGUGGCCCAUGCCCAGGAUGAGGGACUGGAAGGAGAGAAGAGGACCGUCGAGGGAAGAGGCUCACAAGUCCCUGGGAAGACAGGGCAUGGGCUUACAGAGAGGAGAGGGGGUACGGGCAGUGGCUGCUCGUGUCCUCUGCCACCCCUGCCCACUGUCCAGGGGACUUCAACACAACCGAGGGGACAGGUUUGUGUGGGGUCAGGUCUGACAGAAGAGGAGCAGGAGAAACAAAUCGUUAAAACCUAGCGAAUUCCCCUAAGAAAACAUUUCUUCCUCCUUUCCUUCUGGAGGCUCCUUGGUUGGUAGGGAAAUAGGAGUUGGUGGGAAAAGAGGGGGGAGAGGAGCUUGUACCAAGGGACUCUACUCCAUUCUCCCCUCUCCCCCGCAACCAACUUGGAGCUCACCAGGGUUGGGAGGGAAGUGGCUGAGAGCUCACAGGCACCCCCUCCGCCCCCGAGAGGGAGCCCACAGCUGUGGGAGGGGCUGCUACUGCUGCCGCUGCUGCCGCUGCCGCCGCUGCCGCUGCCGCCGCCAUUGGACAAACCUCACCAGUACCUGCACAGGAGAAACACCACGGAUCACAGCGCGAUCUGAAUGGCAAGAGCCUUGCCCUCACCCCACACCUUCCCAGCCUGCUUCCCCUGGGACACAGCCGUUGCUCACUUCCUAUCUGGACCCCAGAGGCCUCAGCCUGCAUCCUCACCCAGACAGAGCAGUUCUCAAGGAUCCUCCCUGUGCC
rnacentral:lncRNA from 1 species